UUCGCAAAAAAAAUUUACAAAUAUUUUUUUGCAAGAAAAUUUGCAAAUAAUUUCUGUAAAUAAUUUUUUACAGAAAAAUUUGCAAGAAAAU
rnacentral:miRNA from 1 species